rnacentral:rRNA from 1 species
UACGUAGGGGGCAAGCGUUUGUCCGGAAUCAUUGGCGUAAAGAGCGUGUAGGCGGCCCGGUAAGUCCGCUGUGAAAGUCCAGGGCUCAACCCUGGGAUGCCGGUGGAUACUGUCGGGCUCGAGUCCGGAAGAGGCGAGUGGAAUUCCUGGUGUAGCGGUGAAAUGCGUAGAUAUCGAGAGGAACACCUGCGGCGAAGGCGGGUUGCUGGGCUGAUGACUGACGCUGAGGCGCGAAAGCCAGGGGAGCGAACGGGG